rnacentral:rRNA from 1 species
GACGAACGCUGGCGGCGUGCUUAACACAUGCAAGUCGAACGAAGUGGCGAACGGGUGAGUAACGCGUAAUCAACCUGCCCUUCAGCGGGGGACAACAGUUGGCAACGACUGCUAAUACCGCAUACUGAAGGAGGGGAUUGCGUCGGAUUCGCUAGUUGGAGGGGUGACGGCCCACCAAGGCGAUGAUCAGUAGGCGGUCUGGGAGGGUGGACGGCCACAAAGGGAAUGGAACACGGGCCAGACUCCUACGGGAGGCAGCACUGGGGAAUCUUCCGAAAUGGAGGAAAGUCUGACGGAGCAACGCCGCGUGAGUGGUGAAGGCCUUCGGGUUGUAAAGCUCUGUUAAUCGGGACGCGGUACCGGAAUAGAAAGCCACGGCUAACUACGUGCCAGCAGCCGCGGUAAUUC